rnacentral:rRNA from 1 species
CAGUCGCCACGGGAAUACGAAGGGGGCUAGCGUUGUUCGGAUUUACUGGGCGUAAAGCGCACGUAGGCGGACUUUUAAGUCAGGGGUGAAAUCCCGGGGCUCAACCCCGGAACCGCCUUUGAUACUGGGAGUCUUGAGUUCGAGAGAGGUGAGUGGAAUUGCGAGUGUAGAGGUGAAAUUCGUAGAUAUUCGCAGGAACACCAGUGGCGGAGGCGGCUCACUGGCUCGAUACUGACGCUGAGGUGCGAAAGCGUGGGGAGCAAACAGGAUUAGAUACCCGUGUAGUCCCUGUCUCUUAUAC